rnacentral:lncRNA from 1 species
UCGAAAUAAGUUGUAUUCCCGUUUCCCGUUGGCUUUUUACUUACUUUUUUUUUUGUUCUCUCCCCCCUUUUUUUCCCUUUUUUUCUCUGGUUAUGUUGUUGGGUUUUCAGUUGGUUUUUUUUCCUGUGUUUUUUUGUGUGUUUGUUUUAUUUUCUUGCAUUGUUUAAGCUUUUUUUGCACCCUUUACUCAAAAUACCGGAACUCCUACAAUACUAUUUUCUGAUGAAUAUCAGUCACGAUGAAUAAUUAAGAAAAUUCACUUUUGCAUAAGUUAUAUUACAAAGAAAUCAAAGACGAUUCUUUUUAGACUUAGCCUACAAUACUCCAACUGUUUUUAGUAAAUCAGGGUGAUACAUACAUACUCA